rnacentral:rRNA from 1 species
AUUGAACGCUGGCGGCAUGCUUAACACAUGCAAGUUGAACGGCAGCAUGUUUUUUCUUCGGAAAAAAUGAUGGCGAGUAGCGGACGGGUGAGUAAUGCGUAGGAAUCUACCUUAAAGCGGGGGACAACCUGGGGAAACCCAGGCUAAUACCGCAUAAUCUCUAAGGAGCAAAGCUGGGGACUUUUCGGGGCCUGGUGCUUUAAGAUGAGCCUACGUCAGAUUAGCUUGUUGGUGGGGUAAAGGCCUACCAAGGCAACGAUCUGUAGCUGGUCUGAGAGGACGAUCAGCCACACUGGGACUGAGACACGGCCCAG